CCUACGGGAGGCAGCAGUGAGGAAUAUUGGUCAAUGGGCGAGAGUCUGAACCAGCCAAGUAGCGUGAAGGAUGACUGCCCUAUGGGUUGUAAACUUCUUUUAUAUGGGAAUAAAACGUUCCACGUGUGGGAUUUUUUAUGUACCAUAUGAAUAAGGCUCGGCUAACUCCGUGCCAGCAGCCGCGGUAAUACGGAGGAUCCGGGCGUUAUCCGGUUUUAUUGGGUUUAAAGGGGGCGUAGGUGGAUUGUUAAGUCAGUUGUGAAAGUUUGCGGCGCAACCGUAAAAUUGCAGUUGAAACUGGCAGUCUUGAGUAUAGUAGAGGUGGGCGGAAUUCGUGGUGUAGCGGUGAAAUGCGUAGAUAUCACGAAGAACUCCGAUUGCGAAGGCAGUUCACUGGACUGCAACUGACACUGAGGCGCGAAAGUGUGGGUAUCAAACAGGAUUAGAUACCCCAGUAGUC
rnacentral:rRNA from 1 species